CUAGUUUGACAAUCACGACAAUAUACAUGUUGGAAACUGAUAUUUAGAUAAUGAUAACUAAAGACCACAAAAGUGUUGUCCUCAUGAUUGUUAUGUAUCAUUCAACAACUAUCUUCCAUCACAAAAGGAUGGCCUUCAUGCAUUAUCAGGAUUGGAAAAGGACUACUAAGUUGCUCAAUCCCUUGAUUGAGAGAAAGGCAACCAGGUUCUCAAUUUUUUGUUGCUUCUUUUCCCAGGCUUACUCUUGUCUUGCCGGCUCUUCUUCGAAACUUCAAACUUUCUUGAUACUUCCUCUUUUUCUUGUGAUUCAAGUCUUGCAGCUAACUCCUCCAUGUGCCUAUAAAAUUGACGAAUCACAACACCAUUGCUUGCUUAUUAGAUGAAAAUAGACAAGAUAACAUGGUACAAGAGUAUUAACUUAUGAAAUUGAAAUGAGAAUUACCUUAUUAAAUGUAUAGACAGACAUGCAGAUGGGCCAAUGAAACACUAAAUGCAAUAUCAAGUUAUAGUGGUUAAAGAACUUGCAUAAGGAAGAGCAAGAUUUCAUCUAUCAAUCUUGAAAAGCGGCAAGCUUCAUAAAUCAGACGAGUUAGUAACUCAAUUGUGUUUUCAAUUUUACUGUCAUGAGUGCACUGUGCACACAAAACAAGAAAAUAAGAAAAAACAAGAACAUAAAGAGAAAAACAUAGAAGUACCGGUCAUUUGCAUUUCUUGCCUCUGUACCCUUCUGUUCAGUGCUUUCUUCUAGAUCGAAUACAUGAAGCGGACCUCCUAGGCAUCCAGUAUUUGUGUAUUUGCCAUGGUAGAACCUUUAGGUGCCUGGGUAAAGAAGUCCGAGAAAAAGCAGUAAAUCGACAUUUGACUUAUGAAGGUCUUCUAAAAAAAUUCUUUAGCAUGAGUUCUUCAUGACCAAUACCAUCUGCUUGGUAGAGUAUAGUUACUAAAUGUUUGGAAGAGUGAAGGAAUAACAUCUACAUUCGUAAUAGUAUUAUUAGUACAUGGUGCCAUGUCACAUAUAAUUGGCAUAGGCUAAGAAAGUAGAUGAAAAUAAACUACAGCGCAACUGUGCAACUAAUACAUUCGAAAGGGAUAAAAAAACAAAGGCAAUCUAAGCUGUUUCCCCACUCGCAAUGAAACACGUCUUCAUCUUUGAUCUAUCUUACCUGAUAUUCUAGUUUAAAUCUGAGUAUAUGCCUCGCAACCUGCAAAGAGGACUCCAUUGUUAACAUGGGAAAGUGUAAAACGCUACCCGAAAUCAAUUUUGGGCACAGCAGACGGAAUUUUCAGAAACUACUUAGUAAAGAAAAGGGAAGGUUAUACGUUGUAGAAAGGAAAGAAUCUAUGACCACCACCGUCCUUAGCCAGAGCCUG
rnacentral:lncRNA from 1 species